rnacentral:lncRNA from 1 species
UUAAUUUCAGAAAAGGUCUAAGAAUUACAUACACAUUAUAAUAUCAUUUGAAAUGCUUUUAAAAUAAUUGCUAUUUUUGUUGUUCAAAAUUGUACACAUAAAAGUAAAAAAAAAAAAGAAUAAUAUUCUCUUUUCCUGUGAAAGACUGCAUUUCCCCCAAGGCUAAUGUAAAUAGACAUCAUCACUGCAGAUACUGAGAAUAAAAUAUCAUAGUUGUCUUUAGAAACACAAUUUAUAGUUUACAAUAUUUAGUAACUUUUCAAUUGAUUUUAAAAUGAGAUUGGCUUCAUCUAUCAUGUUAUUAAUGAACAGAACUCACUUAUUUCUUAAAUUUGUUUUAUUAGUUUCUUGCUUUGCUCAUAUUGAACUAUCCAAAGGCAUUAAUAAUACUAACCUGAAAA